GUAGAUCCGCAAUACAGAGAC
rnacentral:misc_RNA from 1 species